rnacentral:rRNA from 1 species
ACGGGAGGCAGCAGUGAGGAAUAUUGGUCAAUGGGCGGAAGCCUGAACCAGCCAAGUCGCGUGAAGGAUGAAGGUAUUAUGUAUUGUAAACUUCUUUAGACGUAGAGAAAUAAGAGGGUCGUGACCCUUGAUGCUAGUAUACGUAGAAUAAGGAUCGGCUAACUCCGUGCCAGCAGCCGCGGUAAUACGGAGGAUCCGAGCGUUAUCCGGAUUUAUUGGGUUUAAAGGGAGCGUAGGCGGAUUAUCAAGUCAGUGGUAAAAUCGUGUGGCCCAACCAUACCUCGCCAUUGAAACUGUUAGUCUUGAGUGCACGCAGGGAUGCUGGAAUUCGUUGUGUAGCGGUGAAAUGCUUAGAUAUGACGAAGAACUCCGAUCGCGAAGGCAGGUGUCUGGAGUGCAACUGACGCUGAGGCUCGAAAGUGCGGGUAUCAAACAGGAUUAGAUACCCUGGUA